rnacentral:lncRNA from 1 species
UCAGCAAAGUCUCAUCAAGACCGUCUGAUUGAUCAGACGGCAGAGAUCAAUCCCCUUUAUUUUGCUGCUAUUUGCACCAUUCUUGUUCACUUUCUGCACCCCCGUGAAUACUAGUAAUUUGCUCUAUUUUAUUUAAUUCAAACUCAAAAUAAAAAUAGAUAUAAAAUAAUAAAACUCUUUUGCGAGUAAAAAAUGGAAAAAUUGGGUAGACAUCCGACGCUUCCUCGAAUGUUCGGGAACGAGGUAGACAUCUCGCUUUCGGUCGAAUAUUCAUACUCUAUUUAAAAUCAAUUUUAACCCAUCAAAUUUCAUUUUUUUUCGCGCCCAAGUGCGCUUAAUGUUUUUUUUUCCUUUUCUUUUCUUCGAACGAGUUCCAUCGCCUACAUAUGGGUCCUACCUUUUUAAUCAAACAAACCUUUUUCGCUAAAGCGCGGCUAAAUUAUUUUCAUAAAUAAAAUCAACCAACACACAAGAAUUUUCUACCAAAGAACUACGUGUAGCUUUGAUUUCUCCAUCGCACCUGGGGAUACGUAGGAGCAAGGGACCACUCUUGUCAAGUACGCUAAUAAAAAAAAAAUCUUUUUUUUUCUUCUUUUUC